rnacentral:rRNA from 1 species
UUCUCCCUGAGACUUUAAGUCUCCUGAAGGAACGUUGAAGACGACGACGUUGAUAGGUCGGGUGUGUAAGCGCAGCGAUGCGUUGAGCUAACCGAUACUAAUGAACCGUGAGGCUUAACCUUACAACGCCGAAGGUGUUU